AUUGAACGCUGGCGGCAGGCUUAACACAUGCAAGUCGAGCGGGGUGAUGGUGCUUGCACUAUCACUUAGCGGCGGACGGGUGAGUAAUGCUUAGGAAUCUGCCUAUUAGUGGGGGACAACAUCUCGAAAGGGAUGCUAAUACCGCAUACGUCCUACGGGAGAAAGCAGGGGAUCACUUGUGACCUUGCGCUAAUAGAUGAGCCUAAGUCGGAUUAGCUAGUUGGUGGGGUAAAGGCCUACCAAGGCGACGAUCUGUAGCGGGUCUGAGAGGAUGAUCCGCCACACUGGGACUGGGACACGGCCCAGACUCCUACGGGAGGCAGCAGUGGGGAAUAUUGGACAAUGGGGGGAACCCUGAUCUAGCCAUGCCGCGUGUGUGAAGAAGGCCUUACGGUUGUAAAGCACUUUAAGCGAGGAGGAGGCUCUUUUGGUUAAUACCCAAGAUGAGUGGACGUUACUCGCAGAGUAAGCACCGGCUAACUCUGUGCCAGCCGCCGCCGUAA
rnacentral:rRNA from 1 species